CAAAGAGGAUUCUGGGAAAUGUAGUAGAGAAGUGGUGAUCCAGGCAGGAAAUGACAUAGCAAGGAGACUCAUAUCUAAGCAAGGAAACAGGAAGUGGCCCCUUUUCCACUCCACUCCUGCUCCAGAGGCACAAUGUGAUCCACCGGCAAGGAGAGACACCAAUAAGGCGUCCGAUAAGAAAGUCCUUUGAGGGGAAGGAAUCUAACAGAAAAUGUCUUCACAAAAAUCUGCCUAAAAUCAAGCCUCUGAGAUAUUUCAUGGAUGAUUGACCGGGGAAGAUGUCGACCACUCUGGGAGUUACCAUCGCAUGGACAGCUUCUGAAGCAGCAAGCAGAGGGCCUACACAGGUCUGCACCAGUUCCUCUGGACUUAAAGUAUACCUUUCGGUACCAAGCUUUCCCAAGAAAAAGUUGGGCACUGGUGACACUCCUUCUGGAGUUUAUUUGCUCCUUGGUUAAUGGCCUCUUGGGCAAAGAACUGCCCUCACCUCGACCACUGACUUUGGACAUGCUGUCCUAA
rnacentral:lncRNA from 1 species